rnacentral:lncRNA from 1 species
CCAGCCCUAGAGGCACGCUCACGUGCACACUCAUUCGAAUGUGCACACACACCUUGGACCUCCUUUGGCAAUGCCAGCUCUCUGCCCCUACCUAGAUGCGAGAACUUUCAAUCAUUUAAAUGAAGUAAUAAUUACAGGCAAGGUUUGGUGAGUUCUUACUAUGUGUCAGGCCUUAUCCACGCAGCUUAUGUGAAGACCACACAUGAACAUAGAAGAGGAGUGUGUGCCGUGUCUUAGUGUGUGGUGUGUGUGUGUGUGUUUUGGAGAACACGCCCAUACCUCUACUAAUCUGAACCUCACGUUAAAACUAAAUACAUAAGGAUGAGUGGUUGCUGUGCUAUUAGGAACCAUGUAACAUGUACCACUAGCUAAAUACAGAAAUUCAACCAUAGGUCUUCCUGGAACUGAUUCCAGGAUCAUCCUGAGGGCCUGUUUCCUUCAAUUCAAUGACCACGUAAUUACUUGAAACUCCCAGAGAUGGAUCAGGUGAGGGACAAGGAGACGGCAGGAUCCCAGAGCAGGGACCAUCAAUCCCUGAGGAGUCUGAAUGGAACAAGAUCUGCAAGUGGCCCCUGGCACAUCCGAGGAGCCCAGCCAAUGAGAGUCCUGUCUUUCCUGGGUCAGAAGCAACCUUGGACACUCAAGUCCAGUGCCAGCUGGGCAUCUCCGCAGCUCCUCUCAACCUAUCCAUCUGCCUCUGUCCCAUUGCUGGCUCUGACCUUAGGUUCCAAGCUCUUCCUAGGACCACCCUCCUCGGAAGACCCGUUCCGGGAGGUCUACCAUGAGGCCCAGUUUUCAAGGCCUCAGGCCACCUGCAGGCCCCACCUUUCUGCAAAUGGUAGUGGCCUGGUUUCCUUCCUUGCCCACUCAAACAGUGCCAUCCUCUACCUCCCUCCCUGUUCCCCAGGCUGAGCCAGUCAGGGACCACCUGCUGAGCCAGAGGGGCACCCCUAGGGGCUAAGGCUCCCUCUCAAGUAACCAACUGUGUAGACCUGAGCAAGGGGCUCCCCUUCCCACUCCCGAUUUUUUAGUUCUCCUCUACCAGAAAAACAGGGAGACGAAAUCCACGCCUGGCAUGUGCCUUUGUGUACCAACCAGUGAAGGACAGGCCCAAUUCUAGUGCUGAACAGGCAGUUUGCCAGGAGCAGUCAAGAUCACCCCUCCCUCCACUCCCAGGGUGGCAAAGGGCAUUCAUUACAUCCAGCAGGGAGGGGGAGUGUUUAACUCACUCUAAAGGGGGCUGGGGUGAUGGGGGUAGUGGGAGGGACAAUUCACAAAAGCCAGGGCUUAGAAACUCCCAACGGUUUUUUUUUUUUCCAGAACUUCC